rnacentral:rRNA from 1 species
AUUGAACGUUGGAGGCAGGCCGAACACAUGCAAGUCGAGCGGAUGAAGGGAGCUUGCUCCUGGAUUCAGCGGCGGACGGGUGAGUAAUGCCUAGGAAUCUGCCUGGUAGUGGGGGAUAACGUCCGGAAACGGGCGCUAAUACCGCAUACGUCCUGAGGGAGAAAGUGGGGGAUCUUCGGACCUCACGCUAUCAGAUGAGCCUAGGUCGGAUUAGCUAGUUGGUGGGGUAAAGGCCUACCAAGGCGACGAUCCGUAACUGGUCUGAGAGGAUGAUCAGUCACACUGGAACUGAGACACGGUCCAGACUCCUACGGGAGGCAGCAGUGGGGAAUAUUGGACAAUGGGCGAAAGCCUGAUCCAGCCAUGCCGCGUGUGUGAAGAAGGUCUUCGGAUUGUAAAGCACUUUAAGUUGGGAGGAAGGGCAGUAAGUUAAUACCUUGCUGUUUUGACGUUACCAACAGAAUAAGCACCGGCUAACUUCGUG